rnacentral:lncRNA from 1 species
CACCUCCCCCACUUUCUUCCCAAGCCAAUCACCCCGCGAGAACGACGUACCUGCCGCGUGCGAGUGCCCAAUAACGGGGAUGAGUUUCAAAGUCGGUCCUCCGCGACUGCCAAUAGGAGCCUCAAGCUAGAGAGGGACAGCCCUUUCAUCCGUUGAACCGGGACCUGCCUGAGAAUUAAACAGCCAAUCGGAGGCUUCGAGGAGCUCGAGCCGCGCUGCGUUUGGCCAAUCACUGAACGAGACCUCUGCCGCUUCGGUUUUGGCAGAAAACCCGGCGUCCCCCGCUAGCCUGGAAGGCUACUCGUAGGAGUUUGGCUGGAAGGGGGUGGAACAAGUCCCCAGCCGUGUCGCGAUAGGGUGUUGCGAUGGGGUGUCGCGAUUGGGGCGUCCUCUGCACAUUGCCCAUGUCGUGUCUUGUCACCUAGCCAGGGAACAGUUGCGAUGGGUCGCGGAAGAGACACGUCGUGGUCAGAGCCCUUGUUGUAGUGACAGGGUCUCCACGUUGUGACAACAGUCUGGGAGCCUCGGGACGCUGAGGCAGAGUGGGGGAGCACGUGCAGAGGCGGGAGCAAACCUAAAAACUGGGGUCCCUCCACCUUGGCCGAGGAAGAAAGCAGGCGGGUUGAAUGAAACGGCAGGAAGGAUGGAGAUCAGACCUCGGAAAGGAUCCUGACCCUUACUGAGAGAUCUGCUCUGUGUUCCUCUCAAUGGCUUCUGAACAAGGAGAAAGUGGCAACUACAAUUGGAGACAGUGUGUGUGUGAAGGGGUACAGAAUGGAGAUUUGUGUGACAAAGAAAGAAGAUAAAACGAGCCAUGUUGUCCAGCUAAAAGAAGGCUGAGGAGGCGACUGACUGCCAUGUGUUUUCUAGAAAAAAAGACUUCCCAAAAGAGAAAGGCCUCUUCUUCCCUAGUCCCUUGGAAAAUGGACCAAGAGGCAGAAAAGGUCUAAGAUUCCAAUGGGAUGGACUUAGGUUAGUUUCCAGGAAAGACUUCCUG